rnacentral:rRNA from 1 species
UACGGAGGGGGCUAGCGUUGUUCGGAAUUACUGGGCGUAAAGCGCACGUAGGCGGCUUUGUAAGUUAGAGGUGAAAGCCCGGAGCUCAACUCCGGAAUUGCCUUUAAGACUGCAUCGCUAGAAUUGUGGAGAGGUGAGUGGAAUUCCAGGUGUAGCGGUGAAAUGCGUAGAUAUCUGGAGGAAUACCGGUGGCGAAGGCGGCAUCCUGGACCGACAUUGACGCUGAACGGCGAAAGCUAGGGGAGCAAACGGG